CCCAGAUAGCUGGGAUCUGAGCGCACAAAACUACUGAAGAGCGUUCAGAUCCUAUUCACACAGUUCAAUUGCUAUGGAGCCGAAGUCUUUAACUACACAAAUGGGCUCCAUGGCAUAGCUAUCUGGGUUAACACACUCUCAUAAAGUCUGGUCCAUAGUCCAAAGGCAAGAGGCGGGCAAGCAGCCCCCUCCAAGGACACGUGGCGAGGCCGGUUUCGCCACAGACACAG
rnacentral:lncRNA from 1 species